rnacentral:tRNA from 1 species
GGGGCUGUAGCUCAGCUGGGAGAGCGCUUGAAUGGCAUUCAAGAGGUCAGGGGUUCGACUCCCCUCAGCUCCA